rnacentral:rRNA from 1 species
CCCGCUGAACUUAAGCAUAUUAAUAAGCGGAGGAAAAGAAACUAACAAGGAUUCCCCUAGUAACGGCGAGUGAAGCGGGAAGAGCUCAAGCUUAAAAUCUCCGUGCAAGUUUUGUGCGGCGAAUUGUAGUCUAUAGAGGCGUGGUCAGCGUGGGCGCUUGGGGCAAGUUCCUUGGAAGAGGACAGCAUGGAGGGUGAUACUCCCGUUCAUCCCUGAGUUGCUCGUGCGUACGGCCCGUUUUCUUUGAGUCGCGUUGUUUGGGAAUGCAGCGCAAAGUAGGUGGUAAAUUCCAUCUAAAGCUAAAUAUUGGUGCGAGACCGAUAGCGAACAAGUACCGUGAGGGAAAGAUGAAAAGAACUUUGAAAAGAGAGUUAAAGAGUACCUGAAACUGCUGAAAGGGAACCGAAUCGUUUCCAGUGUCUAUAAUCCGUGGUAUAUUUCAUUGGCGAGUGUGUGCGUGCGUGUGCUGUGGCAGCGGCUUUUUUAGGCUGCGCUCGGCGUGUGUGCUGUGUGUGCUUGCUGGUGCCCUGUACUGCGGUGGGACGUCAAGGUCAGUUCGUAUGCUGCGGGAAAUGGCUGCCGAGGAGGUAGGGCUUACGCUUGCGUUUGUCUGUUAUAUCUUGGUGGACGAGUAGUCGCGGUUGGGACUGAGGUGCCUACAACGUGCUUUUGAGUGAGUUUGUGUCUCCGUGUGCGCCGUGUGCGGAUAGCUUGCUAUGCGUGUGUGGUUGUGUGUGGAUUGAUGCGGGCUUUAACUUGUUGCCGUUCGGGACGUUGACGAAAUGGAGCGAUUCGACCCGUCUUGAAACACGGACCAAGGAGUCUAACAUGUGUGCAAGUGUUAGGGUGUGGAAACCCCAGCGCGAAAUGAAAGUAAAGGGCAACGUAAGUUGUCUGAGGUAGGAAAUGCUGUGGGCUUCGGUCUGCGGUGUGGCACUAUCGACCGAUCAUGAACCUUCGUGGUGAAAGAUUUGAGUUUGAGCACAUAUGUUGGUACCCGAAAGAUGGUGAACUAUGCCUGAGUAGGGUGAAGCCAGGGGAAACUCUGGUGGAAGCUCGUAGCGAUUCUGACGUGCAAAUCGAUCGUCAAACUUGGGUAUAGGGGCGAAAGACUAAUCGAACCAUCUAGUAGCUGGUUCCCUCCGAAAUUUCCCUCAGGAUAGCAGCAACUUAUUUACGAUAGUUUUAUGAGGUAAAGCGAAUGAUUAGAGGAUUCGGGGAAGAAACUUCCUCGACCUAUUCUCAAACUUUAAAUCUGUAAGACCUGCAGGUUUCUUAAUUGAACUUGUGGAUGUGAAUAUCAAGUUGCUAGUGGGCCAUACGGGGUAAGCUCGUCUGGCG